CUUGUAGCAGCAUAUGGUAAAAUACUCUAAUAUAAGCUACAAUUAAAGAUGCAACCUCAAGCUUUUAACCUUGACAACAAGAAGAAAUUCACUCUAAAAGAACACAACCCAUGAAUUAAAGGUCUAAUUUAACAAAACAAAGCAAAAAGAAACAGCUUGAGAAAAACCUCCAUAUCAGUAUAAUGUCUCAACCCAAGCAAUGCAGUCUCAUUCGGGUUUUCUGCAGAGAAUCAUAUGCAUCGGAGUAAAAAUCUUGGUCUCACCUCCCUUAGUCAAGUAAUCGGCAGUGACAAACAACAUCUCAUGAACAUCCACAGUCCCUUUAGGAGCAAUCCCCAAAAACGACAAAAUCAUAACAAGAAUAUGGUUCCUCCAAUAGGCAAUCCUCCCCAUUUUGAGCCUGGUCCACCACGGCUGAGCAGGUGGGCUGGCCAAAUCCUUCUCCUUGACAACCUCAAACCCAACUUUCUUGGCAACCUCAGCUAUAUCAGUAUAAUGCCUCAACCCGGGCAACGCGUCUCCCCUCUCAAUCCCUUGUAUGAUCUCCACAUGCUCCGCAUUCUCCCCAUCAUAAAACUCUGUGGUCACCCACUCAUAUGAAACAUACAUCCCACCCGGCUUCAAAACCCGGAAAAUCUCCGCAUAAACAUCCUCCAACUUAGGAGCAUGACAAGUGGCCUCAAUCGAAUACGCCCCAUCAAAAGUAUUAUCCCCAAAUGGCAUUUCAAGAAAAUUCCCACACACAACCUCACACAACUUAUCCAAACCAGCCUUUUUAUUAUGCAAAGUAGCUCUAUUCACCUGAUACUCAUUAAUGGUAAUACCCACCACAUUGGCACCCGAAUGCGCCGCAAUAGCCCUCAUAGGCCCCCCCACACCACAACCAGCAUCAAGAAUCUUAUCCCCGGGCUUCACAUUCAGCAGAUCUACAGCCAUCUCCUCAUGGAUCUGGGUCGCCUCAAGAUGCGACUUCCCCGGCAAAGCCGGCGAGAAAUGGAAGCUCUGGCCCCACCCCCACUCGUAGAUAUCCGUCACCAGAUUAUAGAAAGUGUCGACAAACGCGGGGACCUUCUCCGUCUUCUCAAUCUGCUUGGGGGUCUUGAAGAAAGACCAGUAGUUGUUGUAAUUGACCUGGACUUUGUCGUCGUCGAUGGAGCCGCCGGAGAGAUUCACGGCCGCCUUGCCCUUCCGUUCGGCGGACCCCAAGACGCAGAUGAACCAGUAGAACCCGCCGCCGAUUAAAGCGGUGGUUAAAAGUAAUGGGAGAGUGUCCAUGGCUGUGUGUACGAUUGGGUGUGAAUGUGAUGUGUGUGUGUAUAGAUGGGAGAGUGAGGGGCGGGGUUUGAUUGAGUUUAGUUUGUGUUUGAGUCUUUUGUUAGAACAAAUCAUGGAGUUUAGAUCUCUAACAUGUGCGGACACGCUGGAACAAUGGGAAGGGGAGAAUUAACAAAAUCCUAGGGAUUAAAGAGUCAUGUUAUUAAAUUUUGUGCAAUUUUGUCUAAAUUUAUGAGCCGUUCGUUUCAUAGCAUGUACCUUGAUUUUACUAAAACGAGUAUUAGAAAUUAAUUUUUGGUGCUUAAAAAUAAUGGGCAUGUUUGUUUUACCAUAAGCAGAAGCUUCGGCUUAUUUCACGCUUUUGUGUAAAUAAGUUCUCCCAGAAUUUUUACUUUUUUUUCAAACAUUUUUUUAACUUAUUUACUUCUCACUUCUAUUCUAUUUCUUUGUUUGAAGCAAGACAUAAUUUUUUUUUAAACUUAUCCAAACUACUCUACUGUUAUCCAAAUUUAUGAACACUUCGUUUUUAUUAGUGAGGGUAAUAUAGUUGAUCAGAUCGAACAUGACAUAAUUCAAAUCUGAAUCCAAAUUUUUAUCUAUGUUAAAAAUAGAAAAUCAAAUUCGAUCCAAUAGAUUUUGGGUCGAGUUUAGUGUAUCCGAAACCCAAACUUUUUUAAUAUUUGAUAUGGAUAAUAACCAAAAUUUGAAAUUUGAAAUCGUAAAAUCAAAACCAAAACAUUUAAAUUUAUUAAUAGUUGGUCAUUAAACUUCUAAUACACUUAAAUUUCUUGGUAUGCGAGAUUGUAAUAUAUCAUCAAGAAUUAAAAUACAUCAAUUGAUAACUAUCAUAAAACAAUAAUUAUAAUGUAUUAUAAUAUAAAAUAUCAUGUACUCAAUAUGACAUGUCCUGGAUUUAAUUACUAACUAAAAAUAUUAUAUAAUUAUUAAAUAAUGUAUAAAUUGCAAUAUAUUAUAAUGUAAAAUAUAUAAUAUAUAAGUAAAUUUAUAUAUAUUAUAAUAUGUAAUAAAUUAUAUCAUAGAUAAGGUCUUACUGCAAUACAAACUGCUAAAAUACAAACCAAUUCGAUUAAGUAGAAUGCGGAGGAUUUUGGGACCGGGGAUAGACCUCGAGAUGGGCCUAGACGGGGUCUAAAUGAGGCCCAGUAGGGUCCGGGUGGGACCUAGUGGGACCGUGAUGGGGCAAAGUUUGGCUCUUAGGGCUGUCUAGGGUCUGUGCGAAGCCUUGACGAGACUCUAACGGUCCCCGGGUGAAUUGAGUGGGAGCGAGGGUGGGCCUUAGGUGGGUAAUGACAUAUAGGGUGUGGCUGAUGACAUAUAAGGCGUGGGUAAUUUCGUUUAAGAAUAAUUUCUCUUCAUUUGUAUUUUAGUUUUCAUUUCAGUGGUUUCUAUUUGAACAAUUACCUAUCUAUAUAUAUAUAUAUAUAUAAUUUAUUUUUCUAAAUAUAAUUUUAUUUUCACAUAUAUCUAUAUAUAUAUAUAUAUAUAUAUAUAUAUAUAUAUAUAUAUAUAUAUAUAAUAUAUAUAUAUAGGGUCUUACUCUAGUACAAACUCCUUGCUGUACAAACGUACAAAUCAGUGAUUAUGACAAUAAUAUUUAGUGAUUACUAGAUUUUAAUUUUACAAAUACAUACAUACAUACAUCAUCCCCGCCACCACCACCACCUCCAAUCACCACCACCACGACCACCCUACCAACCACUAACCACCACUGCCCAACGCCACACUCUCUUUCCACCAUCCACCACCAACCAACACGUCCAACACCACUGCCCAACGCCUCUCUCUCUCACCCACCACCAAUUACCACCACUGCCAGCGGCUCUCUCACUCUCUGGUUGUUCGUUCACCGAUCAGAGGUAUACACACACACAUUCAUCACUGCUUUUCUUAUCUCCCUACAUCGUGUCUCUCUCCCUCAAUCAUGUUUCUAGCACUACCCUCGCGCUGGUGUCACGGCUGCUGCCGGCCGCACUGCACCACCACUCGGCUAUGCCGCCCCGUAAGUGUUAUCCUCCCCUUAUCUCUCCAUCAGGGGGUCAGAUCCCUGGUAGAUUUAGUGAUUCUGUUCAAUCAUUUAGUGAUUCUGUUCAAGUGAUUGUUUGUACGUUUGUACAUUAAGGAGUUUGUAUUUGAGCACUUGCCUAUAUAUAUAUAUAUAUAGAGAGAGAGAGAGAGAGAGAGAGAGAGAGAGAGGAAAUCUUAUUCUAUUACAAACCCCCUUAUUCUACAAAUUAAAAACAGUUAUAGUAUCACUAAAUUCUAAAUAGAAUAUUAUUAAAAAUCUUUCAUCAGUCCCAUUUCCACCUCCAUCCUCUCCAACUCCAUUCCACUUUCGGCUACUCUAUGUUUGUCGCCACACUUCCACUGCACUCUCCAUCACAUCCUCCAAGCUUAUAAAAUGUCUGAAUUUGUCUAAUUUCUGGACCAUUUGGUCGUGCAUGGUCCUAGCUCAAGGCCUUAGCACUAAAUCUAUGGUUAAGCAUAGCAGAUACAAGUUGCAAAGCGAAGAAAUUCGAAGAAGAAGAUCCAAUAAAAAUCAUCCAUGCCUGUAAAGUGGGAUUGGUCAUUACUUUAGUUUCUCUGAUUUUUUAUUUCAACACUCUGUAGGAUGGUUUCGAUGUUUCCGCCCACCACCACCAUUCUCCGCCUUCUCCAUGUUCCCUUCUUUCCAUGUCCACCACCUCCACCAUCUCCACCAUCGUCACCACCACUAGAAUCGACAACAAGCACGGAUCUAGAGAUUUCACUAAUUUCUGGAGGUUUUCACCAAUUUCUGCAACACAAAUCACUAAUUUCUAAAGUAAAUAUUACUGAAUGAUAUAAGAAUCUACAUAUCGAACAUCAAGUGGAUACAGAAUCAGACAUUCAAAUAAAAUGAAAUAUUCACACGUCAUUGGAAAAGGUUCAUUAAUAUGUUCAAAACUCAGUGAAUAACAAAGUCCAAAAGUUUUGGGAUCAAAUGCUAUCUACAGAUUUAGUAUAAAGUGCUAGAGGAUUCUAGUGUCGACACUAAUUAUUCAUGAACAUGUCUAACUCGGAAUGGAAUGAUCAAGAUAUUUAUCAAGGUUAGUACGAAAUUCAAAAUCAGUGUUAGUCAUUUGUGAACCAGACUAGUGCACUGAAUUUGAUAGUUUGGUAUUGUACCGUCAAAUACAUACGAGCCAAAAGGUAGUGACUGCGGGUUUCUACGUUAAAAAAAAUACAUACGAGCCGUUAGAUCCUAGUAUUUGAUAAACGGUCAAGAUUAUUAUACAUGUAUACAUAUAAUAUUUAAAUAUAAAAUAAAACUUAUACUUCUGAUUUUCUAAAUAAAAUAAAAGUAGUUUUUGCAGAUAGAUGAUGUUCCCUAUUUUCUUUAGGUUCUAAACAAAAAAAAGAGAUAAAUAAAAAUAAAAUAAAAGUAGGUUUUGUAAUUAAAUAUUACUUAUAGUCUAUAUACCUUGUGAACACUGAAUAAAACAUUAAACUUUAGGAAUAUUUAUAAAAAUAUCAACUUUUUUACUUCAAAAAAAACAUAUCAACAUUUACAAAUUAUUUACAAAAUUUUUUUAAAUAUCAUUUUUCAAAUUAUUUACAAAAAUACGAUUUGUCUGCAACCUCAUUUGCAACAUCAGUUUGCAACUGCUACAAAUGAGGUUGCAUAAAUUGCAAAUUUAAUUUUCAUUUGUAACUGUUGUAAAAUGGUGUUGCAAACGAAGUUGCAAUAGUUGCAAGUCGUAUUUGUUGCAUAGGUGCAAAUGAAAUUUCUUAUUUACAACUGUUUGUAAUUGUUGCAAAUGAGGUUGCAGAGGUUGCAGAAGUUGCAAGUCGUAUUUUUAUCAAAAAUUUCUAAAAUAUGGUAUUUCUAAAAAUAUUAAAAGUUGGCAACAAUAUUUUCGUAAAAGAAUUCAAAAAAGGUAGAUGGUCACGAAAAAACCCCUAAAUUUUAUUAUUUGAUAAUGAGUAAGAUUUUCUAAAUUAAAUAAAAUGAGGUUUUAUAUAUAGAAUAUGAUACUUUUUAUAAAAUUUAUAUAAAUUAAUCUCCCCCAUAUUUUCAAUUUGAAUUCAAAUAUGAUUGUUAUAUCAUCACUAAAUCUUUUUAUUUUCACAAUAAUGAUUUAAUCAUAUAUAAAUCUAUGUAUAAAACAUUAGUACGAUAAUCCAUAUUAUAUAUAUUCAUAUAAAUAUUUUUUAAAUAUUAUUCAUACAUCAUGCGAGUUAUUAAAAUAAUAUUUUCAAAAAGUAUCUGACCCGAGUCAUAAACUAAUAAUAAGUAAAAAUCUAAGGGCAUCUCCAAUUACGAAGAGUCCGUAGCUAAAAUUUAGUUGGCAUACCAAAAACAAAAAGUAUAAUCAAUGUUUUCAAAAAAUCACACUCCAACUAUACCCGGCCUUUAUUUAUAAUUAUAGCCAACUCAUAUCCUUAUCCAGGAUCAUUUUUAACAGUGGCGUAGGGCAAAUUUGUAGAGAACUAUUCCAUCUACCUCUUUAUAGAUACUUAUAUUCAACAUUUCUUUUUUAUUUAAAGAAAAACGACUUUCUUUACUGAAAUCUCGCAUCAUACAUCACUGAAUCCAACACAUUGAACAUGGAGACGUAAAGUUCGCAAAGCAAUUUAGCGGCCAAGGGACACGAGCAUCGAAUGGGCUGUUCUAUUAGCCAAUCUUUAAAAAUCGAUACGUGCGAUGCAAAGAACUUUCAACUUUCAAGAGUACCCAGGUUAAAGGCUAAGGCUUGAUUUGCAGAAAAGAAAGAGCAUUUGCAAUACAGCCAUCUAUUUCGGACAGAAUAAGGAAGCACAUGCAUAUGCAAUAUGGCUAAAGCAGAUCAAAAACGAUAAAACCAUCAGAGUAGAAGAGGCAAGCACCAUAUGGUCGACCACGCAACAAAAGCGAUAGCACAUGUUUUAUAAUGUUCAUCAAAACCCCACCACCACAAAACCGAAACCAGGAAAAAAAAAAGGAGAUAAUUUCAGGGAGAUUUUAAGAUCAUAUAAUGGGUCCAAAAGCCUAAAAGAUACUUUCUAUGCAACUUGCAAUAUUCAACUAGCUCUAUCAUUUUCCGAAUGGAUAGAACAGUUUCUAAAGAACGGCAUACACAGAAAAUUAAAUCCUGCAUCCACAUGAAGACUGAUGGAAAAUGAACAAAAGGUUGAAGAGUUUCUAAGGAACCACAGACAAAGAAAACUUAAUCCUGCAUCCAUAUGAAGACCGAUGGAAAACUGGUCAUUCCCAUGGUAAAAUAUAGGCCAAUUCUGUUUGCUUGUAUAAUUUACUAUAAUUUACAAGAAAGUUAUAUGUGUAAGAUGCCCCUACCUGACAUAUUACAUAGAGAUCUGCAAACUAAUAUAUUAAUUAACAUAAUCGAACACAGAGCACAUGUACUAAAUGACACAGAGGCAUGUUUAUCUAUUUUAUGAAGGGAUGUAACCAUAGAAGUUGGGCAACUAACUAGAGAGCUAGUAAUACAACAGAUUAAAAGGAUGAUUCAAUGAUACGGUGGAUGACACAAAUUCAUAAAUUGACGACAAGCGGAUAGGAAACUCUGUCUGUCACAAGUACAGAGUUUGGGACAUAAAGAUACUCACAGCCUUCUCACUCUUAUCAGAUUAACUCCAAAUGCCAGCGAGUUAUAUUACUGANGAAAUGACUNAAAAAAAAAGGAGAUAAUUUCAGGGAGAUUUUAAGAUCAUAUAAUGGGUCCAAAAGCCUAAAAGAUACUUUCUAUGCAACUUGCAAUAUUCAACUAGCUCUAUCAUUUUCCGAAUGGAUAGAACAGUUUCUAAAGAACGGCAUACACAGAAAAUUAAAUCCUGCAUCCACAUGAAGACUGAUGGAAAAUGAACAAAAGGUUGAAGAGUUUCUAAGGAACCACAGACAAAGAAAACUUAAUCCUGCAUCCAUAUGAAGACCGAUGGAAAACUGGUCAUUCCCAUGGUAAAAUAUAGGCCAAUUCUGUUUGCUUGUAUAAUUUACUAUAAUUUACAAGAAAGUUAUAUGUGUAAGAUGCCCCUACCUGACAUAUUACAUAGAGAUCUGCAAACUAAUAUAUUAAUUAACAUAAUCGAACACAGAGCACAUGUACUAAAUGACACAGAGGCAUGUUUAUCUAUUUUAUGAAGGGAUGUAACCAUAGAAGUUGGGCAACUAACUAGAGAGCUAGUAAUACAACAGAUUAAAAGGAUGAUUCAAUGAUACGGUGGAUGACACAAAUUCAUAAAUUGACGACAAGCGGAUAGGAAACUCUGUCUGUCACAAGUACAGAGUUUGGGACAUAAAGAUACUCACAGCCUUCUCACUCUUAUCAGAUUAACUCCAAAUGCCAGCGAGUUAUAUUACUGAAUUACUGCCUCCUAUCAUCUACUACAGCAACUGCAACAGCUUCGUAUAUGCAGUAGCAGAAAAAAAGUUAUCAUAUGAAGAAGGUUUUUCAAGUUGUAUGAGCUAUGAAGCUAAGAUUGAAGUAUUUAUAAGAUAUUCUGGAAACUCAUAAUUCAUAGUUCCUAAUUUACAAUCUGUCCUUGUAUGAAAUUUACAUGUUUAAUCAAUUCCAUUAUUCUCAUGUACUGCGGCAUUAUGUAUACAGCAUCUCCCACACCAUUUGUUAGAAUCAGCCCCUUAUGUCACUUAAAAGGAGAUUCAGAUUCAGAUCUUCCAUGCAAUGUAUACGUGCAGUGGGUUUCUCAAGACAAUGUCCUAUAAAGUUAUUCCUAAUAAACUCUAUCAGUUAUCUAAUUCUUUCUUUUUAAUAGAAAUUAAGCACAUGAUACUCCUGCCACAAAGAUACACUUCCAGCUUAUCAAAUUAAUAAAGGCAAACUGAUAAAACUUUGCAUCAGAUCUAACAUUAUCAAUGUAUAUUACUCUACGGAAUGGUAAAAAAGUUCAGAAUAGAUCUCACACCCUCUAAUAUACAAAAGGACCACAAGGGGACCUCAUGAAUUCUACCAAUGUGAAACGAUAACAUAUGGUUACAGCUAAUCAUACCACAUGACAUGUCUACUCUAAAAAUUAUUUACCCGGCCAGAGGUUUCACAGCUAAAUGCCAGUUUAGCCAACAAGAUAGCGAGUGGUCCAUAAGAAAGAUAUAAGCUUUAGAACAAUAAUAGACAUACAAAACUAGAAUAAUAACUAUAAUAGGAAAACUCUUGGAAGGCUUAAGAACUGAGCUCUUUUAGACAAAACACCACAUCAAUAGAUUUAACAAUCAAAAUCCCCAAAUUCUGAAUAACAUUAAUCACCUUAAGUUACAUUAAGAGUAUUCUUGUAGCAGGAUAUGGUAAAAUACUCUAAUAUAAGCUACAAUUAAAGAUGCAACCUCAAGCUUUUAACCUUGACAACAAGAAGAAAAUCACUCUAAAAGAACACAACCAAGAAUUAAAGGUCUAAUUUAACAAAACAAAGAAAAAAGAAACAGCUUGAGAAAAACCUCCAUAUCAGUAUAAUGUCUCAACCCAAGCAAUGCAGUCUUAUUCGGGUUUUCUGCAGAGAAUCAUAUGCAUAGG
rnacentral:lncRNA from 1 species